AGGUUUGUGGCUCAGUGGUAGAGUGCUUGCCUAGCAUGUGUGAAGCAUGGGGUUCGAUCCUCAGAACUA
rnacentral:tRNA from 1 species